AUAGAGACUCAGAGCUGCAUAUCAAUAAGCGGAGGAAAAGAAACUAACAAGGAUUCCCUUAGUAACGGCGAGUGAAGCGGGAAGAGCUCAAAUUUGAAAUCUUCAAGGUUUUACCUUGACGAAUUGUAGUUUAAAGAAGUGUUUUCUGCUGAAGUUUUGGUAAAAGUUCUUUGGAAUAGGACAUCAUAGAGGGUGAGAAUCCCGUAUUUGACCAUUAUUUUCAGCUUUGUGAUACACUUUCAAAGAGUCGGAUUGUUUGGGAAUGCAGUCCAAAAUGGGUGGUAAAUUUCAUCUAAAGCUAAAUAUUGGCGAGAGACCGAUAGCGAACAAGUACCGUGAGGGAAGGAUGAAAAGAACUUUGAAAAGAGAGUUAAACAGUACGUGAAAUUGUCAAAAGGGAAGCGUUUGACACCAGUGUUGUUUUCUCGAAAAUCAAUUAAAAAUGGCUCGAUUUUGUAUUGUUGAGACUUUAAAAGCUCACUGUACAUUUUUCGUGUCUUUUUUAAUGCACUUUUCGUUUAACAAGUCAACAUCAGUUUCUUUUGUUGUAAAAGGGUCAUUGGAAGGUGGCUUUCUUUUCGGAGAAAGUGUUUAUAGCCUUUGACCUCUGCAAUCGGAGAGAUUGAGGUACUAGCAGCGUAGACUCUUCGGGGUUAGAUACAUUUGUGCUAAGCUAUAGCUUCUUUAUAGACAACUUGUUGACUAUAAUCAGUCCUGUAGCUUACUCGCUUAUGCUAGUUUUACCUACGCUUAGGAUGUUGAUGUGAUACUGCGAGCA
rnacentral:rRNA from 1 species